UGCUUAGGAAUCUACCCAUCAGUGGGGGACAACCCGGGGAAACUCGGGCUAAUACCGCAUACGUCCUAUGGGAGAAAGCGGGGGACCGCAAGGCCUCGCGCUGACGGAUGAGCCUAAGUCCGAUUAGCUAGUUGGUGGGGUAAAGGCCCACCAAGGCGACGAUCGGUAGCUGGUCUGAGAGGAUGAUCAGCCACACUGGGACUGAGACACGGCCCAG
rnacentral:rRNA from 1 species